rnacentral:rRNA from 1 species
GUGGGGAAUAUUGGGCAAUGGGGGAAACCCUGACCCAGCGACGCCGCGUGAGGGAAGAAGGCCUUAGGGUCGUAAACCUCUGUUGUGUGGGAAGAAGAGCGUGACGGUACCACACGAGGAAGUCCCGGCUAACUACGUGCCAGCAGCCGCGGUAAUACGUAGGGGACGAGCGUUGUCCGGAUUUACUGGGCGUAAAGGGCGCGUAGGCGGUCAUUUAAGUCAGCUGUGAAAUGGUUUGGCUUAACCGGAUCAUGCGGUUGAAACUGGAUGACUGGAGUGCUGGAGAGGCAAGUGGAAUUCCCAGUGUAGCGGUGAAAUGCGUAGAUAUUGGGAAGAACACCGGUGGCGAAGGCGACUUGCUGGCCAGUAACUGACGCUGAGGCGCGAAAGCCAGGGGAGCAAACGGGAUUAGAUACCCCGGUAGUCC